rnacentral:rRNA from 1 species
GAUAAACGCUGGCGGCGCACAUAAGACAUGCAAGUCGAACGGACUUAAUCGAAAUAUUUAUAUUUUGAAGCGGUUAGUGGCGGACUGGUGAGUAACGCGUAAGGAACCUACCUAUUACAGGGGGAUAACAGUUAGAAAUGACUGCUAAUACCGCAUAAGCGCACAGUGCUGCAUGGCACAGUGCGAAAAACUCCGGUGGUAUGAGAUGGACCCGCGUCUGAUUAGCUAGUUGGUGGGGUAACGGCCUACCAAGGCGACGAUCAGUAGCCGGCCUGAGAGGGUGAACGGCCACAUUGGGACUGAGACACGGCCCCAA